UCCACUGUCGCGUUUUUCUUACGUGCGUAUACGCACGUAAAAGUUCAAAUCCAUUUAAAAGUUGUUUAUAUUAUGAAGUAAUUAAGUGAAUAAAAUGACAGCAUUUAGUUUAUAAAAUUUAAAAAGAUUUAAACUUUUACGUGCGUAUACGUACGUAAGAAAAACGCGACAGUGGA
rnacentral:miRNA from 1 species